GGAACAGAGAUCCGAGCAGCCAGGACGUGUGCCGUAAGCCUCAGCGCUGGUGCAGGGACAGAGCGGAGCUGACGCUGCCCAGGGACUGCGGGCCCCUGUCCUCAGGGUUGACAGUGGCACAGGGAGUUCGCUGAGGUCUUCAGAACAAGAGAAACUGGGCCUGAGUUGCUGUUCAUGAGGAAACACUGAGAUGGAUCUGGACCUGCCUUGGGAAACGCACUGCGAGACCUCGAGCCUGAGCCUGAGCCGUGAUGGGGAGAGACCUUCGGGGGUCUUUGGAUUCUGUGUGCAGAACGAAUGUUCCCAAGGAUGGAGGUGAAUUCCAAAGACGAAUUUCCCUGUAUCCUGCAUGGCCCACUGCAUCUAAAAUGGAAGAGCCAAGAAGAAACCAGCCGCUCACUGGGGGCCCUUCCUCGUCCUGAGCUGAUUCUGCGGAGACUGGUGAACGUGUUGUGACCAAGGAAACGUGUUCCCACGUGAAAUGCAAUCGGCUGCUUCUCCCAGGUGAGGUCCUCCCACAGCCCAAAAGGCAGGGGGCCCCCUGGACAGGGAAGGGGCGUGCUCACCAUUUCUGUGAUUUCUGCAAUGUCUUCUCUGUGCUCCCAGCUGGGAAACAUGUUGGUGAAGGUCAGGGGCUCCAGACCGGCAUGGAUGAGGUAAGACUUGGGGGGCGGCUUCUUGAGGUUUUUUCCUGCAGUCAUACAGAAGGCAGAUGUCACAGACCCAGCAUGGCCCCGAUGACCCUGGCUUAUCCCCUGUAAUUUUUUCCCUGUUUGCAUCUCUUGACUUAACGGUUAAAAUGGAAGUUAUGAGUUUGUAGCCCCUCCCCGCCAUGAUGUUUACAAAAAAUGUUAAUUUCAUGCAUGUGACUGUGCAUGAAAUUGCAUGGGAUCGACCUGACUUUGAACUUCCUGAACCCAACAGAACACUUCUGGGUCCCUGGAUGGGAGAAGAGCAAGCCUCCCUCUGUGGCGUCUGGGUGGGACCGUCCCUCCUGGACUCACCUGUGAAGUAUUCCUCUGAUUGCCUAACCCAGCCUUGAGUUCGGUGUGAAUUACCAGCUAAUGGCAGCAUUUUAGAAGCUACUUUAGCUUAAACAUUUGGUGGGAAGUUUAUUAAGUUAUUUUUUACGAAAGAGCUUUC